UGGUAGGUGUAUUGGACAACCAUGGCAGUCACGGGUAACGGAGAAUUAGGGUUCGAUUCCGGAGAGGGAGCCUGAGAAACGGCUACCACAUCUAAGGAAGGCAGCAGGCGCGUAAAUUACCCAAUCCCGAUUCGGGGAGGUAGUGACAAGAAAUAGCAACUCGUGCGGGUUUCCGUUACGGGAUUGCAAUGAGAUAAGUCCAAAUCCGUAAACGAUUAACAAUUGGAGGGCAAGUCUGGUGCCAGCAGCCGCGGUAAUUCCAGCUCCAAUAGCGUAUACUUAAGUUGUUGCAGUUAAAAAGCUCGUAGUUGAAAUUCGAGUCAGUUACUAGUUGGCUUUUCGUCAGUUAGUUAAUUGAUUCUCCGUCUACAAUCCCUUUUGCGCUUUAGGGUUGCAGCUGGGCGAGUAGACAAUUUACCUUGAAAAAAUUAGAGUGUUCCAGGCAGGUCUUCGCCGGAAUACAUUAGCAUGGAAUAAUGGAAUAGGACUUGGGUCUUUUGUUGGUUUUAGGACUUGAGUAAUGAUUAAUAGGGACAGAUGGGGGCAUUAGUAUUUAAUUGUCAGAGGUGAAAUUCUUGGAUUUAUUAAAGACUAACUUAUGCGAAAGCAUUUGCCAAGGAUGUUUUCAUUAAUCAAGAACGAAAGUUAGGGGAUCAAAGACGAUCAGA
rnacentral:rRNA from 1 species